UACGUAGGGUGCGAGCGUUGUCCGGAAUUAUUGGGCGUAAAGAGCUCGUAGGCGGCUUGUCGCGUCGGAUGUGAAGCCCGGGGCUUAACCCCGGGUCUGCAUUCGAUACGGGCAGGCUGGAGUGUGGUAGGGAGAUCGGAAUUCCUGGUGUAGCGGUGAAAUGCGCAGAUAUCAGGAGGAACACCGGUGGCGAAGGCGGGUCUCUGGCCGAUAUCGACGCUGAGGAGCGAAAGCGUGGGAGCGAACAGGAUAGACUACCCAUAGUC
rnacentral:rRNA from 1 species